rnacentral:rRNA from 1 species
ACGAAGGGGGCUAGCGUUGCUCGGAAUGACUGGGCGUAAAGGGCGCGUAGGCGGAAGUGACAGUCAGACGUGAAAUUCCUGGGCUCAACCUGGGGACUGCGUUUGAGACGUUACAUCUAGAGUGAGGAAGAGGGUUGUGGAAUUCCCAGUGUAGAGGUGAAAUUCGUAGAUAUUGGGAAGAACACCGGUGGCGAAGGCGGCAACCUGGUCCUUUACUGACGCUGAGGCGCGAAAGCGUGGGGAGCAAACAGGAUUAGAUACCCUGGUAGUCCACGCUGUAAACGAUGUGUGCUGGAUGUUGGGUGACUUAGUCACGCAGUGUCGUAGCUAACGCGAUAAGCACACCGCCUGGGGAGUACGGCCGCAAGGUUG